UUUGGGAAAUGAUGAAAAAAAUAAAUACAUGCAGAGCUCCAAGCUCCAAUGGGGUGUGCUAUGCUGAAUGAUUUUGCACGUCAGUCUGAUACCAAA